rnacentral:rRNA from 1 species
AUGAGAGUCAAACCACUCUUUUUCAGCAGGGCAAGGUUCUUAGUCAGAAAUGGAGCUAAUACGAGGUUCUGGGAGGAUACGUGGCUUGGGGAGACUCCCCUUGCACUUCAAUAUCCUACUCUGUAUAACGUUGUUCAACGUAGAGAAGCUUACGUUGCAACCGUGCUACAAUCCACUGCCCUCAAUAUUAGUUUUUGGAGGACGCUAGUUGGAAAUCGUUGGGAGGCCUGGCUUCAUCUUGUAGGACGUUUGAUGGAUGUCCAGCUGUCUCAGCAGCCAGAUCAGUUGUAUUGGAAACUAACUAAGAACAGCGUGUUCUCUGUCAAAUCCAUGUAUCUGGAUGUCAUAAACUCUAGCAUCAUUCCUUCCUCGAAGCACGUUUGGAAAGUUAAGGUACCUUUGCGAAUCAAAGUGUUUAUGUGGUUUGUGCAUAAACAAGUUAUUUCGACUAAGGAUAAUCUGGCAAAACGCAACUGA